rnacentral:rRNA from 1 species
UGCCCUACGGGCGGCAGCAGUGGGGAAUUUUGGACAAUGGGCGCAAGCCUGAUCCAGCCAUGCCGCGUGCGGGAAGAAGGCCUUCGGGUUGUAAACCGCUUUUGUCAGGGAAGAAACGGUCUAGGCUAAUACCUUGGACUAAUGACGGUACCUGAAGAAUAAGCACCGGCUAACUACGUGCCAGCAGCCGCGGUAAUACGUAGGGUGCAAGCGUUAAUCGGAAUUACUGGGCGUAAAGCGUGCGCAGGCGGUCAUGCAAGACAGAUGUGAAAUCCCCGGGCUCAACCUGGGAACUGCAUUUGUGACUGCAUGACUUGAGUACGGCAGAGGGGGAUGGAAUUCCGCGUGUAGCAGUGAAAUGCGUAGAUAUGCGGAGGAACACCGAUGGCGAAGGCAAUCCCCUGGGCCUGUACUGACGCUCAUGCACGAAAGCGUGGGGAGCAAACAGGAUUAGAUACCCGGGUAGUCCA